CUGAGUUGUCGACACGAGUUGUUGCUGGCCCCUCAAACGGGGGCAUGUGCACGCUCUGUUAACACAUCCACUCACACCUGUGCACACUCCGUAGUUCUAUGGUCUGGGGGACGUGCCGUCUUCCUCCUGUAGUUCUACGUCUUUACACAUACACCGUAGCAAAGUCUUAGGAAUGUUUACCGCGUCUAACGCAAUACAAAA
rnacentral:misc_RNA from 1 species